rnacentral:rRNA from 1 species
AACGAACGCUGGCGGCAGGCCUAACACAUGCAAGUCUAGCGAACCCUUUGGGGUUAGCGGCGGACGGGUUAGUAACGCGUGGGAAUAUGCCCAAAGGUACGGAAUAGCCUCGGGAAACUGAGAGUAAUACCGUAUGUGCCCUUCGGGGGAAAGAUUUAUCGCCUUUGGAUUAGCCCGCGUUGGAUUAGGUAGUUGGUGGGGUAAUGGCCUACCAAGCCGACGAUCCAUAGCUGGUUUGAGAGGAUGAUCAGCAACACUGGGACUGAGACACGGCCCAGACUCCUACGGGAGGCAGCAGUGGGGAAUCUUAGACAAUGGGGGAACCCUGAUCUAGCCAUGCCGCGUGGACGAUGAAGGCCUUAGGGUUGUAAAGUCCUUUCAGCUGGGAAGAUAAUGACGGUACCAGCAGAAGAAGCCCCGGCUAACUCCGUGCCAGCCGCCGCAGUAACAC